UUUUUUGUUAUUAUGCUGCGUGUGUGUGUCUUCAAUUAAACUCUACUUUUAUGAUAAUGGAGAGGACAAAUUGUUAAAAGGACACCCUGUUGACCCAGCAAACCUUAAAAUGACAUUCUGUCAACACAAUAUAAAGCAACAAUCUCUUCCUUCCUUCCACCUCUACAUCAUCUUUGUAUAAUAAACCCAACAGGAGCUCAAACUAUCAUAAAAUAAUUUUGAUAUUUCUCUUUACACCUAAUCCCUCUUUUUUUAUACAAUAAUUUUAAAUCUUUAUGAUAAUAAUGAUGAUAGUAAUAAUUUUUUUAUCACAAUUUACACUUAGGUAACAAGGAAUAGUCGAAAGCCUUCUGUAUCAAGCAAUGGAAAGACAUGUUGGAUCACAGGAUUAUCUUGGUGUCCCAUCCAUAGCCAUCACUACCAUAAUCAUCAACCUGUUACAAUUUAGAAACGUAAAAUCACCAUAAAAGAUUUCAAUUUUGAUUGGAGUCACGUGACCUUAAUCAAACUGAUUAUCGAUAUCAAAAUAGAGGAAUGAAGUCUAUCCAUAAUAUCAUUAAAUUCAUUUCCAGUUCCACUUCAUCUCAAUUAUCAAAUCAAGUCUCCUUAUUAAAUGGUUACCAGUAAACGUGAUAAUUUUCUGUCCAUCAUCAUCGCAAUCAUCAUUAUCAUCACCAUCAUCUUCAUUUUAUCAUCUCUUCAUCUUUACAUCAACUUUACUUUCAUCCAGUAUUUCCUCAACAUUUUAUCCUCCCUGUAAAUGUUUCGCGUUGUAAGCACGAAAUCAACUUUAACUCUGUUUUCAGCAAACAACAUACAAAAACCUCUUCUUUUUUGCUGCUAUUAUUGUUGGUAAUAAAAGAUUAAUACAAGAAAAAGCAAAACAAUUGGGAGUGAUUUUGGAGGAAUGAAAUUGCUUUUGUGAAUAUUUAAUAAUCUUAUUUAUCACAUUAUACCUACAAAGGCACUUGACUCUUUACACAACAAGGCAAUUGAUGACACUCAUUACAAAAUGAUUAUAGCUGUUGGAACUGAACUAUUAAAGGCACAGAGGAAACGCAAUUUACUCAACAGAAGAACCAAGUCAAAGAUAAUUUAAUUCAACAAUCGACAAUUGAUGAAACUAAUGUGACAAAUUGCAUAAAGAAUAGCAGGUUAAUCUGAUCAAGUUAAUGAAACUAACAAGAGGCUGCAAGAUUGUUUUAAUAUAAAUGGCGGGAUAAAUAAAUGUAAAUAAGAAUGGCAAAGUCAAGCAAAGCUAAGACCAAAAAACUGGAAACAAGCAACAAAAGUGUUUGAUUAAAUUGAAUGGAAAUUAACUUGAUAUUGAAUCAAUCAAAGAAGGUGAUGAAGAUGAUAAAGGAUAAAGAUGAGAAUAAUAAGAAGAUAAAAAAGUAACCAAGGUUACUAUGUAUUAAAUGAUUGCUGGUAAUUUGGUUUGAAAAUAAUUUGAGUUUUUGUCUUUCUCAGAGUUUAGCUAAUACUUUGUGAGAUUAGGGUUGAAAGGGUAUAAAGAAGAGUCGCUUUUUUUUGUUCAACUUUGCAGUUCAAGCUUCAAACUGUAAACCCAUUUGGCAAAUAAAAAGGCAUAACAAUAUCA